rnacentral:lncRNA from 1 species
GGUAGAUCCCUACAACUAUCAGAUUUCAUCCGGACUCCUACGGGAGCCGGACCUCGUUCCCAACUCCGGCUGCAGGCGGACUUCGCCCGGACUCCUAUGGGAGCCGGGCUCCGCCCACGACUUCGCUUACAGGUAAAUUUCGUCUAGACUCCUACGGGAACCGGACUUCACCCACAACUCCAAUUGUAGGAAGACUCAGCCCGGACUCCUACGGGAGCCG